GAUGAACGCUAGCGGCAGGCCUAACACAUGCAAGUCGAGGGAGAAGCCCUUUCGGGGGCAGAAACCGGCGCACGGGUGCGUAACGCGUAUGCAACCUACCUUUCACAGGGGGAUAGCCCGAAGAAAUUUGGAUUAAUACCCCAUAAUAUUGUUGGAUGGCAUCAUUUGGCAAUUAAAACUGCGGUGGUGAAAGAUGGGCAUGCGUCCUAUUAGCUAGUUGGAGUGGUAACGGCACCCCAAGGCUACGAUAGGUAGGGGUCCUGAGAGGGAGAUCCCCCACACUGGUACUGAGACAGGGACCAGACUCCUACGGGAGGCAGCAGUGAGGAAUAUUGGUCAAUGGUCGGAAGACUGAACCAGCCAUGCCGCGUGCAGGAAGAAUGCCUUAUGGGUUGUAAACUGCUUUUAUAUGGGAAGAAUAAGGUGUACGUGUACAUUGAUGACG
rnacentral:rRNA from 1 species